rnacentral:rRNA from 1 species
AAGCGUGGGGAGCGAACGGGAUUAGAUACCCCGGUAGUCCACGCCGUAAACGAUGGAUACUAGCUGUUGGAGGUAUCGACCCCUUCAGUAGCGAAGCUAACGCGUUAAGUAUCCCGCCUGGGGAGUACGGUCGCAAGACUAAAACAUAAAGGAAUUGACGGGGACCCGCACAAGCGGUGGAGCGUGUUCUUUAAUUCGAUGAUAAACGAAGAACCUUACCAGGGUUUGACAUCCUUGGAAUUUCUGUGAAAGCAGAGAGUGCUUUAUUGAGCCAAGUGACAGGUGAUGCAUGGCCGUCGUCAGCUCGUGUCGUGAGAUGUUUGGUUAAGUCCAUCAACGAGCGCAACCCUUGUGAUUAGUUGUAUUUUUCUAAUCAGACUGCCCCGGUAACGGGGAGGAAGGAGGGGAUGAUGUCAGGUCAGUAUUUCCCUUACACCCUGGGCUAGAAACGCGCUACAAUGGCUGGUACAAUGCGCAGCGAAGUCGCGAGAUGGAGCAAAUCGCAUCAAAGCCAGUCCCAGUUCGGAUUGUAGGCUGAAACUCGCCUGCAUGAAGUCGGAAUCGCUAGUAAUCGCAGAUCAGCAUGCUGCGGUGAAUACGUUCCCGGGUCUUGUACACACCGCCCGUCAAACCAUGAAAGUCACCAACACCCGAAGUCCGAUUCGUCGGCCUAAGGUGGGGGGGAUGAUUGGGGUUAAGUCGUAACAAGGUAUCCGUACCGGAAGGUGCGGAUG